rnacentral:rRNA from 1 species
AAUAAGCGGAGGAAAAGAAACCAACAGGGAUUGCCUCAGUAACGGCGAGUGAAGCGGCAACAGCUCAAAUUUGAAAUCUGGCUCUUUCAGGGUCCGAGUUGUAAUUUGUAGAAGAUGCUUUGGGUGUGGCCCUGGUCUAAGUUCCUUGGAACAGGACGUCAUAGAGGGUGAGAAUCCCGUAUGUGACUGGGUGUCCACGCCCGUGUAAAGCUCUUUCGACGAGUCGAGUUGUUUGGGAAUGCAGCUCAAAAUGGGUGGUAAAUUUCAUCUAAAGCUAAAUAUUGGCCAGAGACCGAUAGCGCACAAGUAGAGUGAUCGAAAGAUGAAAAGCACUUUGGAAAGAGAGUUAAACAGUACGUGAAAUUGUUGAAAGGGAAGCGCUUGCAAUCAGACUUGCGCGCCGUUGAUCAUCCAGGGUUCUCUCUGGUGCACUCUGCGGCGCUCAGGCCAGCAUCGGUUCGGGUGGUGGGAUAAAGGCCUUGGGAAUGUGACUCCUCUCGGGGAGUGUUAUAGCCCUCGGUGCAAUGCCGCCUACCUGGACCGAGGACCGCGCUUCGGCUAGGAUGCUGGCGUAAUGGUUGUAAGCGACCCGUCUUGAAACACGGACCAAGGAGUCUAACAUCUAUGCGAGUGUUUGGGUGUCAAACCCAUGCGCGUAAUGAAAGUGAACGUUGGUAUGAACCCUUAAGGGUGCAAUAUCGACCGAUCCUGAUGUCUUCGGACGGAUUUGAGUAUGAGCAUAGCUGUUGGGACCCGAAAGAUGGUGAACUAUGCCUGAAUAGGGUGAAGCCAGAGGAAACUCUGGUGGAGGCUCGCAGCGGUUCUGACGUGCAAAUCGAUCGUCAAAUUUGGGUAUAGGGGCGAAAGACUAAUCGAACCAUCUAGUAGCUGGU